rnacentral:rRNA from 1 species
UACGGAGGGUGCGAGCGUUGUCCGGAAUCACUGGGCGUAAAGGCGCGUAGGCGGCCCUGGCAGUCGGUGGUGAAAGCCCGCGGCUCAACUGCGGGUCGGCCACCGAUACUCCAGGGCUCGAGUUUGGUAGAGGCAGAUGGAAUUCCGGGUGUAGCGGUGGAAUGCGUAGAGAUCCGGAAGAACACCGGUGGCGAAGGCGGUCUGCUGGGCCAAGACUGACG